rnacentral:tRNA from 1 species
AGUUAUUUCCUACAAAAGGUAAUAUGUUUUGAAAACAUAUAAAAAGAAGUUAAAUUCUUCUAAUAACUU